rnacentral:piRNA from 1 species
UGGAAAGGAUCAGUUUUAAAA